ACGCUCGACACCUACGGAGGCAGCAGUUAGGAAUAUUGGGCAAUGGAGGAAACUCUGACCCAGCAACGCCGCGUGAAGGAAGAAGGUUUUCGGAUUGUAAACUUCUGAUCUAGGGGAAGAAGGAAGUGACGGUACCCUAGGAGAAAGCCACGGCUAACUACGUGUCAGCAGCCGCGGUAAUCUGAGCGGGCUGGCAAGGCC
rnacentral:rRNA from 1 species